AUUGAACGCUGGCGGAAUGCUUUACACAUGCAAGUCGAACGGCAGCGCGGCCUUCGGGCUGGCGGCGAGCGGCGAACGGGUGAGUAAUGCAUCGGAACAUGCCCAGUCGUGGGGGAUAACACUUCGAAAGAAGUGCUAAUACCGCAUACGUCCUGAGGGGGAAAGCGGGGGAUCGCAAGACCUCGCGCGAUUGGAGUGGCCGAUGUCAGAUUAGCUAGUUGGUGGGGUAAAGGCCUACCAAGGCGACGACCUGUAGCUGGUCUGAGAGGAUGAUCAGCCACACUGGGACUGAGACACGGCCCAGACUCCUACGGGAGGCAGCAGUGGGGAAUUUUGGACAAUGGGGGCAACCCUGAUCCAGCCAUUCCGCGUGAGUGAAGAAGGCCUUCGGGUUGUAAAGCUCUUUCGGCAGGAACGAAACGGUGGGCUCUAACAUAGUCCGCUAAUGACGGUACCUGAAGAAGAAGCGCCGGCUAACUACGUG
rnacentral:rRNA from 1 species